AUCAUAAUACGGGGAACAGGUGCCCUUACACGGGUUAAAAGGGAAGUCCGGACCCCCGCCACCCACCCAGCGCCCGUUUUUUUGCCGUGUCCGGCGGUGCAUUUAGGGCUGCGGUGGGGCGGGGGGAAAGGCGCGGUCCCGCCACUGUGAGGGGGAGCCUCUCUGCGUAGAACCACUGCCCUGCGCCUGACGGUGCGGCAGGCGCGCGGCCACCGGCAGUCGCCGGCAGCCCGGAGAUUUUUGCAGGGUGGGAAGGGGUGGAGCAGGCUAUGAACCCGAGCCAGGAAACCUGCCUGUUUCCGCACACCAAA
rnacentral:ncRNA from 2 species